rnacentral:rRNA from 1 species
AAUAUUGGACAAUGGGGGCAACCCUGAUCCAGCCAUGCCGCUUGUGUUAAGAAGGUCUUCGGUUUGUAAAUCAUUUUAAGUUGGGGGGAAGGGCUUGAGGUUAAUACGUUGAAGUUUUAACUUUACCAACGGUAUAAGUACAGGUGAACUCUGUGCCAGCAUCCGCGGUAAUACAGAGGGUGCAAGCGUUAAUCGGAAUUACUGGGCGUAAAGCGCGCGUAGGUGGUUCAGUAAGAUGGGUGUGAAAUCCCCGGGCUUAACCUGGGAACUGCUUUCAUAACUGCUGAGCUAGAGUACGGUAGAGGGUAGUGGAAUUUCCUGUGUAGCGGUGAAAUGCGUAGAUAUAGGAAGGAACACCAGUGGCGAAGGCGACUACCUGGACUGAUACUGACACUGAGGUGCGAAAGCGUGGGGAGCAAAC